AACCAGAGAACCACUUUUGAGUAUUCCACCAAUAGGUUAGCCAGGGUGUGUAAUGGGCAACACGGACUGCCCACUGAUCUGGUGUAGGCAGUAGGUGGUAAGCUUCAUUAGAUAGGUUUGCAGGAAAACCAGGCCACCAGUAGUUAAUAGCCGGAGCUAAUAGCGUUACUCCUGCUAGCCUGUGAGGAAUGUACUUGAGGCAGCUCCAAGUCAACUCACCACCCAUGGAAAGGCCAAUUACAUAGAAUUUGGAUCCAAGUCCCAAUUGAUCAGCCAGUUCUUCGACAUCUAAAGCAAAGCUUUUCAAUGNNNNNCUUUUCAAUGUUCGUUUUGGAUGAGGAUCACUCUCUCCAUAACCUGGUCUGUCAAAUGACACAAUGUAGAUCCCUAAUUCUUCAACAAUUUCCAGAGAAAGGUGAUUAGCAACAGCAGGAUUGUGCCUGCAAGCAUUAAAACCAUGGACAACGAUAAUUUUAUUUAAACUUAGCCACAUCUUUUGAGACACCAUGCUCUUUAUAGGCCAAAUGCCUCCCAUCUCUAAGCUUUAUUCUUGGUGCUGUAAUAGGAGGCCCACCUGGAG
rnacentral:misc_RNA from 1 species